rnacentral:rRNA from 1 species
GACGAACGCUGGCGGCGUGCUUAACACAUGCAAGUCGAACGGAAAGGCCUCUUUCGGGGGGUACUCGAGUGGCGAACGGGUGAGUAACACGUGAGUAACCUGCCCUUGACUUUGGGAUAACUUCAGGAAACUGGGGCUAAUACCGGAUAGGAGCUCCUGCUUCAUGGUGGGGGUUGGAAAGUUUCGGCGGUUGGGGAUGGACUCGCGGCUUAUCAGCUUGUUGGUGGGGGAGUGGCUUACCAAGGCUUUGACGGGUAGCCGGCCUGAGAGGGUGACCGGCCACAUUGGGACUGAGAUACGGCCCAGACUCCUACGGGAGGCAGCAGUGGGGAAUAUUGCACAAUGGGUGGAAGCCUGAUGCAGCAACGCCGUGUGCGGGAUGACGGCCUUCGGGUUGUAAACCGCUUUCGCUCAUGACGAAGCUUUGUGUGACGGUAGUGGGUAAAGAAGCACCGGCUAACUACGUG